rnacentral:rRNA from 1 species
UGCGUAGGUGGCGCCGUAAGUCGGGUGUGAAAUUUCGGAGCUUAACUCCGAAACUGCAUUCGAUACUGCGGUGCUUGAGGACUGGAGAGGAGACUGGAAUUUAUGGUGUAGCAGUGAAAUGCGUAGAGAUCAUAAGGAAGACCAGUGGCGAAGGCGGGUCUCUGGACAGUUCCUGACACUGAGGACAAGGCCAGGGGAGCGAAACG